AACGAACGCUGGCGGCAUGCCUAACACAUGCAAGUCGAACGAGACCUUCGGGUCUUGUGGCGCACGGGUGCGUAACGCGUGGGAACCUGCCCUUAGGUUCGGAAUAACUCCCCGAAAGGGGUGCUAAUACCGGAUAAUGUCUUCGGACCAAAGAUUUAUCGCCUUUGGAUGGGCCCGCGUUGGAUUAGCUAGUUGGUAGGGUAAAAGCCUACCAAGGCGACGAUCCAUAGCUGGUCUGAGAGGAUGAUCAGCCACACUGAGACUGAGACACGGCCCAGACUCCUACGGGAGGGAGCAGUGGGGAAUAUUGGACAAUGGGCGAAAGGCUGAACCAGCAAGGCCGGGUGAGUGAUGAAGGCAUUAGAGUUGUAAAGCUCUUUUAACCGGGAUGAUAAUGACAGUACCGGGAGAAUAAGCUCCGGCUAACUCCGUG
rnacentral:rRNA from 1 species